rnacentral:rRNA from 1 species
GACGUAGGGCGCGAGCGUUGUCCGGAUUUAUUGGGCGUAAAGAGCUCGUAGGCGGCUCGUUGCGUCGGCUGUGAAAACCCGCAGCUCAACUGCGGGCUUGCAGCUGAUACGGGCGGGCUGGGAUUCGGUAGGGGAGACUGGAAUUCCUGGUGUAGCGGUGAAAUGCGCAGAUAUCAGGAGGAACACCGGUGGCGAAGGCGGGUCUCUGGGCCGAUAUCGACGCUGAGGAGCGAAAGCGUGGGGAGCGAACAGG